AUUACAUAAUGGGCGGUUUCCCAAACGGAGAUUAAGCCUAGAUUUGAAUUAAAUAUUAAUUUAAGUUAGAAAUCUUUAUUUAAAAUGUUAUGUUGUCCAAGACCAGGAGUAACCUCGGGGAAACCGCAAGUAACCUAAGUUACGAAUCAACUGAAUCUGUUACUGCUCAAUUAUUUAUUUACAAAGUCACCAAUUCUUUUUCAGCACCAUGGCCAGAGUCAUGUUAAACUAAAAAGUUGAGAGAGAGAGAGAGAGAGAGAGAGAGAGAGAGAAAGAGCGCAAACAUCAUCUUUGAGAACGCUUUUUGAACUAAAAAGGCUACUGCGUUAAAUGUAUUUAAAGAGAAGUGUUUUUCGCCAAACACUGUCUAUUUUUAUACUGGUAAAAAUGGCAGGAUAAAAACUGGAAAAAAACUUUAGUCUUUAGUUUUUAGCAGAUAUUCUUAUCCGACUUUAACCAUCCAUGAAGUCCGACAUCCAAAUCCAUAGAACAGUAAAUAAGUCUAAUGAUGAACAUUUGAUCAGAAUAAUAAACCCUGCAAAUUACUAUUUAAUCAUAGCACAAGCUACAAGACAACCUUAUUCUCUAUUCUCGUUCUGGAAACCCAGAUGGAAUGCGGUAUAUGCCUUUAACCAGUCCAUCCAUUUAACACACUUAGCACAGACAGCGAGCAUACAUGCUCAGAGUGGUGGGCAGCCGACGAGUGGCGAGGGCCUUGCUCAAGGGCCCACGGGUGCCAGCUUGCCGAACCCGAGUAUGGAACCCGAAAUGUAUUCUCUAAACAUGCAUUUUCUUUACAACAAUAAUGUACAGCUAUGUGUCUGCACUGAGGUCUGAUGCUGAAGCAAGGGCGUAAGAGUGGGUUUGACAUUGAAGUUUCCUAUCCAGCGAUGUAAAGUAAAUAAGUAGAACUCGUUCACUACUUAAGUACUAAAAAGCUGUAUUUGUCUCUACUUAACUUUUUUCUCCUUCUUACACGUUUCCUUCACUACAUAUUUUGGAUGAGUUUAAUAUUUUUACUACGAUACAUUUUUAUGUGCUGCACCGUUAGUCAUUAUAAUUAUAAAAAUAUUAGGAAUCAUUUCAAACCCACAUUAGCUCUAAAGCCAGUGCGGUAGAUGGCACUGUCACCGGGUUUGAUGAAGCUCAUUAUCAUUAAACGAAUCAAGCUGAAUACUGUGGUGCAAAAAGAACGCUUCAGCUUCUACUUAAGUCACUAAAUAGAGCACUUUACUUCUACAUGUAGGCUAUAUUUUUUUUACUUUGGCUCUCACUUACUGUUAGCGAUUAUUUUUAUGAAAGUAGCUGCAGUGCAGCUGUACGCUUGUUUUAACAUAACUGGCUAGAGAGUCUGAAAAUUCGAGAGACAGAGUUAGGAGAUGAUCGUCGCUGCAGAACCACAAGUGCAGGGGUUGGGGCUGAAUCUGAUCCAACUCCUCCUACAUCGUGGUUUUAUUGGUCUGAAGAAGGUCCCCACCCUAACCCUAACCCUUGGACUUAUGGGAGGAGUUAUAUCAAAUCCAGCCCCACCCCUGGACUUGUGGCUCUAAAGCGAGUGGUAUUUGUGGAAGUUAGCAACACUCCUCUCAACACUAGCCUUAACAACGUGAAAGAAAGACCCAGCGUGAUUUGCUCCCAAACGUGCUUUCAAAAUAAAAGUUUUUUUAAACCGUUUCUGCGGUUUUUGGGUGUGGCAAAUUUACUACCUGGGGCAAAUUUACUACCGUUUCUACCUGUUUCUGAAUUUCUUACCCCAAUACAUUGAAGGAUGUUGUCUCACCUCUCUGAAGUGGACCAAAGUGACACGGCACUAUGUAUCUGCAGUAGGUUGCCCUGAGAAUUCUCAAACUCAACAUUGCCUAGAUGGGGUGAACUAUCGGUUCUAUUUUCCCUCCAUCUUUUCUUUUUUCAUUUUUUUUGUGCAUUAAAAAUAAAGUUUUGAGUUCCAAUAGCUGCCAAUAGCUCUAAAAA